AUUGAACGCUGGCGGCAUGCUUUACACAUGCAAGUCGAACGGUAACAGGGAGCUUGCUCCGCUGACGAGUGGCGAACGGGUGAGUAAUGCAUCGGAACGUACCCAGUCGUGGGGGAUAACGUAGCGAAAGUUACGCUAAUACCGCAUACGUCCUGAGGGAGAAAGCGGGGGACCGUAAGGCCUCGCGCGAUUGGAGCGGCCGAUGUCGGAUUAGCUAGUUGGUAGGGUAAAGGCCUACCAAGGCGACGAUCCGUAGCGGGUCUGAGAGGAUGAUCCGCCACACUGGGACUGAGACACGGCCCAGACUCCUACGGGAGGCAGCAGUGAGGAAUAUUGGUCAAUGGGCGGGAGCCUGAACCAGCCAAGUCGCGUGAAGGAAGAAGGAUCUAUGGUUCGUAAACUUCUUUUGCAGGGGAAUAAAGUGCGGGACGUGUCCUGUUUUGUAUGUACCCUGAGAAUAAGGAUCGGCUAACUCCGUGCCCAGCAGCCGCGGUAAGCUCGUCUCUA
rnacentral:rRNA from 1 species